rnacentral:tRNA from 1 species
AGCCCUGUGGCGAAAAUGGAAACGCGGCGGACCCGCAAGUCUGCUAUGUUCAGGUUCAAAUCCUGACGGGGCUUCCA